rnacentral:snoRNA from 1 species
GCACUCAAAUCUUUCCCAGCCCUGCUGCUUGGUGCCGGUCUGGGGACAGAUGGUGCUAUAGUAGAGCAGAGGAAAUCCAGACGGGUCGCUUCCAUUUGUCCUGGGGCCUGUCUCUACAGCUCUGCCACACUU